AGCGAACGCUGGCGGCAGGCCUAACACAUGCAAGUCGAACGAAGUCUUCGGACUUAGUGGCGGACGGGUGAGUAACACGUGGGAACGUACCUUUUGGUUCGGAACAACUCAGGGAAACUUGAGCUAAUACCGGAUGAGCCCUUAGGGGGAAAGAUUUUUCGCCGAAAGAGCGGCCCGCGUUAGAUUAGCUAGUUGGUGAGGUAAAGGCUCACCAAGGCUACGAUCUAUAGCUGGUCUGAGAGGAUGAUCAGCCACACUGGGACUGAGACACGGCCCAGACUCCUACGGGAGGCAGCAGCGGGGAAUCUUGCGCAAUGGGCGAAAGCCUGACGCAGCCAUGCCGCGUGAAUGAUGAAGGUCUUAGGAUUGUAAAAUUCUUUUACCAGGGACGAUAAUGACGGUACCUGGAGAAAAAGCCCCGGCUAACUUCGUGCCAGCAGCCGCGGUAAAAC
rnacentral:rRNA from 1 species